rnacentral:lncRNA from 1 species
GCUUACGGGAAGGAGAGCUGGAGCCGGGGGAAGUGCCUCCUUCAGCCAGAUUAGUUAUUGGAAACUAGUUUCCUGGGGUCAGCCAGUUCUCCCAGACGGGAGAGUCUGUGGCUGUCUGGGAUCUUCUCUAGAGGUGUGGGAUCAGAGGAGAUGGGCCCAUAGCAUCAGCUCUUGGCUUCUGCCUUCAACCCCAGCAGUGUACUUCAAGGAGCAAUGGAGGAGAAAUCACCUUGGCCACCAGAGGAUGGAUACAACCCUCACUGCCAGCUGAAACACAGGUGAAGGAACCCCAGGGGAGGAUCUUGGGUCGCAGUGAGCCGUUCCAACUCUGCCCCAUGCUCGCUCAGAGUGACUCACUAAGCAACUGCCAGCAUUCCUCUCUGAUAUCACAACUGUGUUUGAUUAGGAUCUUGAGUGAAAUAAGCCACUCGCUUCAUUGGGAAUGUCUCAGAGCUAAAAGUUUCUUUCUAUGCAUAAUUAAUAUUCUACCUCUUUGAAGAUAAAUUCUAUCUAUCCUACUCUGCAAAUGGAUCAUUUCCCCUUGGCUAUUCCUAUGUCAUGUCUCUACCAAAAGUAAAAUAAAAUACAAGGGAAAAAAGAAAAUAUAAAGAAUAAAUCUGCGCUAAAAAUGAUUCACAUUUUUAUUCCCAGUGUGAAAAGCUCAAGAAUGUUUUUAAUGCGUGUCCAGCUUGAAACCCGCUGCAAAUGUCUUACAACAUUUUGUAACAGGCUUUUCCCAUCUGUGCUGAAAGCAGCUGAUGAUUUAAUGCAAAUUGUUAUUGUUUCACAAUCUCCCAAUGAUCUUUUCUAUUUUGGAUUAGCAUUUGGGGUCUCGUUUGCAUCUGCUUCAGAAAUUCAACUGCUGGGAUUGGUUUUUUACUGCGGCCAUUCUGUGUUCUACAGUAUCCUACAUCCUUCAUGUUUCAAGUUCUACUCAUUUUUAAAAACAUGUUCGCUAUCUUCAAUCUCAUAAGACUCUUCAUUUUCUCAACAUUAAAACCUGGCUUUACUGCUCUCAGAACCUUAAACAGUGAAGCAAAGGAGGUAUGACAUGAAGCACUGGUCACCAAGAGACUGUGGUGGUGUCUGCAAAUCCCUAUGAAAGCCUGGCAUUGUCUAUUUCAAUAGACAUUUAAAAUAUAUGAUACACUGUGCCUAAUGUGUGAAUAAGUCAUCAUAUGUAUAUGUAAUUAUUAUAUAUAUACACACAUAUAUAAUUUUUUCAAGAGUAUAUAAAUAGUAUUGUGAUGAAUAGAAUUUAUUUUCAUGGCAUUACUAAUUUCACAGCUCUUUAUACAUUAUGUUGUGCUUCUUGUCGCCAUCAAUAAAAAGCACGAUUACCAACAAAAAAGGAAAUUAAUAUUGUUGCAACACAAUCUUUGAUUUUGAUAAAACCUUUGCAUCGAUCCCAGUGGUAGGUGAC